rnacentral:rRNA from 1 species
AUUGAACGCUGGCGGCAUGCCUUACACAUGCAAGUCGAACGGUAACGGGUCCUUCGGGAUGCCGACGAGUGGCGAACGGGUGAGUAAUAUAUCGGAACGUGCCCAGUAGUGGGGGAUAACUGCUCGAAAGAGCAGCUAAUACCGCAUACGACCUGAGGGUGAAAGGGGGGGAUCGCAAGACCUCUCGCUAUUGGAGCGGCCGAUAUCAGAUUAGCUAGUUGGUGGGGUAAAGGCCUACCAAGGCAACGAUCUGUAGUUGGUCUGAGAGGACGACCAGCCACACUGGGACUGAGACACGGCCCAGACUCCUACGGGAGGCAGCAGUGGGGAAUUUUGGACAAUGGGCGCAAGCCUGAUCCAGCAAUGCCGCGUGCAGGAAGAAGGCCUUCGGGUUGUAAACUGCUUUUGUCAGGGGAGAAAUCUUCUGGGCUAAUACCCCGGGAGGAUGACGGUACCUGAAGAAUAAGCACCGGCUAACUACGUGCCAGCAGCCGCGGUAAUACGUAGGGUGCGAGCGUUAAUCGGAAUUACUGGGCGUAAAGCGUGCGCAGGCGGCUUUGCAAGACAGAUGUGAAAUCCCCGGGCUCAACCUGGGAACUGCAUUUGUGACUGCAAGGCUAGAGUACGGCAGAGGGGGAUGGAAUUCCGCGUGUAGCAGUGAAAUGCGUAGAUAUGCGGAGGAACACCAAUGGCGAAGGCAAUCCCCUGGGCCUGUACUGACGCUCAUGCACGAAAGCGUGGGGAGCAAACAGGAUUAGAUACCCUGGUAGUCCACGCCCUAAACGAUGUCAACUGGUUGUUGGACGGCUUGCUGUUCAGUAACGAAGCUAACGCGUGAAGUUGACCGCCUGGGGAGUACGGCCGCAAGGUUGAAACUCAGAGGAAUUGACGGGGACCCGCACAAACGGUGGAUGAUGUGGUUUAAUUCGAUGCAACGCGAAAAACCUUACCUACCCUUGACAUGUCAAGAAUUCUGCAGAGAUGUGGAAGUGCUCGAAAGAGAACUUGAACACAGGUGCUGCAUGGCCGUCGUCAGCUCGUGUCGUGAGAUGUUGGGUUAAGUCCCGCAACGAGCGCAACCCUUGUCAUUAGUUGCUACGCAAGAGCACUCUAAUGAGACUGCCGGUGACAAACCGGAGGAAGGUGGGGAUGACGUCAGGUCCUCAUGGCCCUUAUGGGUAGGGCUACACACGUCAUACAAUGGCCGGUACAGAGGGCUGCCAACCCGCGAGGGGGAGCCAAUCCCAGAAAACCGGUCGUAGUCCGGAUCGUAGUCUGCAACUCGACUGCGUGAAGUCGGAAUCGCUAGUAAUCGCGGAUCAGCUUGCCGCGGUGAAUACGUUCCCGGGUCU